UAAUGUAUGGGGAUCUGCCCGAUAGAGGGGGAUAACUACUGGAAACGGUGGCUAAUACCGCAUAAUGUCUACGGACCAAAGCAGGGGCUCUUCGGACCUUGCACUAAUCGGAUGAACCCAUAUGGGAUUAGCUAGUAGGUGGGGUAAAGGCUCACCUAGGCGACGAUCUCUAGCUGGUCUGAGAGGAUGAUCAGCCACACUGGGACUGAGACACGGCCCAG
rnacentral:rRNA from 1 species